CUCUCUAACAAAAGCUUCCGCAUCCCAACUUGGGGCACAGUGUUGGAACACAUCUUUAACCCAACCUAACAACUCAGACGUCCUACUGCAAGCAUGGCAUCUGAAGAGCGUCUCGGCUGAGCUAGCUCCAUUCUUAACCGACGGGCCCGUUCCAAUCUGCCCAUUGCUAAUGGCACAAUCCGUGUGUGUCCAAUGAGAACAGAGAUCACAACCAAUCCAUCUACAAGUGUUCACCUCAAAAUCAAACUUGUUACAGAUCACACACAUGCAAAGGUUGCAGAAACCAUUUUUCUUCGCGCAAAUUUCACAGCUACAUUCCUCUGCCGGAAGCAUACUACCGCAUGCGAUGUUUCUGCACCUCUUAUACAAGAAAAUGUCAAUGAGGGAAGCUUGAGAGAGACUGACACUAGGAUGCAGGAAUGCCUGAAUUCCAGUCUUGAUAGCAACUAGAAUUUCUAGCUGGGUGCGGUGUGUAAUAAUCAGGGUUCCAUCCGUCAAAUCACCUCUACUAUUCACUAGCCUUUGAAGGAAUAGAAACUCCUCUCUGUGCUGAGCACCACCUAAUCCUUCAAGAAUGACCCGAAGUUCGUGUUUAAACUUCUCUAGAUACUCAUCUGGGAGAUUUCGCAUCCUUUCAGCUAUAGUAUCAACUCUUUCUCGGGCAAUGUCUCGAAGGGAUAUUUUAUCAGAGUUUGAUAUAUUGCGGACAACAGAGUGCUCAGCGUAGCCAUUCUCUUUCUCCUUCUCCAGCUUUUUCGCCAUCAAAGCGUCAGAUGUUGGCCAAGUUUCACGUGAACUAGCACUUUCAGAUGGUGAAUCACGAGCCUGAUCAGAGGUCGAGCCACGUUCUUGAGGAUUAGGAGAUCCGCAAGCAUCAGGAGAGACCAAGGAUAGAGAUGUCUGAAGUCCACCAGGCCGUGGUUGUUGGCGUGGAGGCAGC
rnacentral:lncRNA from 1 species